UCCUCAUCACUCACUAUGUCGUCACUGGCC
rnacentral:piRNA from 1 species